UGGCCAUAUCAUAUUGAAACCACUGGUUCUCAUAUGAUCACCAAAGUUAAGCAAUGUUGAGCCUGGUCAGUACCUAGAUGGGUGACCACUUGGGAAUGCUAUGUGCUGUAAG